AUGACGUAUGUUUAUGAUACGUUUUCAUAGUCGUACUUGCAAAGGUUCCAUCCAAUCAGACUCGAAUUCUACGGACCAAUUUAGCGUGACCAAAACUUAACGUGGGUGUAUGUAAAAGCGAACCUGGAGCCUACACACAGUUGUCGGCUUUCUAAUGGACUUGCGAAUACAAGGACUAUGUUAUUCGGAUACGUGAAAGCCAUUGAUCGAAAACAUUGAUAGGCUGUCGGAUGCAGGGCAAUUCGUAACCAACAACGGUAUACUCGUGUAUACGUAACUGUGGUAUUCCCACGAAAAAAACGAAGCCGACGAUAUUUCUUCGUUAUGUGGUGCAGGUCUAAUGACUCAACUUCCAAAUCUUUUUCGGAUGGAAACACCGGCUCGGCAACCAGAUACUGACGCCACAGCAGCAAUACAUAUGGCACGUUUAUCCGCUUUCUGGAACGGGGCUGUCCUGGACUAGCGCAAGUUCUAACAGCCAGGAUGAAGAGACUAUCAGCCCAAGCUAUCGGAUACCUGCGGUAAUGGCCCUACCAGUUACUUCCAACGGGAGUCGAAAUUUCCGUUUACACAACAUUCAACAUCGAAAUUCAUAUCAACGUCGCAGAUCUUGGCAGGGCAGUCUUAGCAGAACUCCUUUGCGUUCCCAGGCUUCUUAUGCUCGUCAAUUGUGCGAAUCAAGCGGCCUUCGGUGGAACCCGCAAUCACACCUCGCUUCAAGUAUAGGCUCAGCACAGAGGCGCUACUACCGGCGCUAUUUGAUAGAAUAGGCCAAGUUUACUGAGUAACAAUAAACGAAGA